rnacentral:rRNA from 1 species
UACGGAGGAUCCAAGCGUUAUCCGGAUUUAUUGGGUUUAAAGGGUGCGUAGGCGGCCUGUUAAGUCAGGGGUGAAAGACGGUAGCUCAACUAUCGCAGUGCCCUUGAUACUGAUGGGCUUGAAUACACUAGAGGUAGGCGGAAUGUGACAAGUAGCGGUGAAAUGCAUAGAUAUGUCACAGAACACCGAUUGCGAAGGCAGCUUACUAUGGUGUCAUUGACGCUGAGGCACGAAAGCGUGGGGAUCAG